GCAUUCCUAAAUAAAUAUCAUAUGUAAAUAUAUAAAAACUCAUUCCAAGUGCUUUAUGAAAAUAUAAAUCCCUCCAAAACAAAAUCACAUUUGAAAUCAUUUUAGAUGAUAGAUUUUGAGAUGUGCCUUAUGCCCUCACAAGCAGGUUAUAUGGAAAAACAAAUGAAUAAAAUUGGCAUUCCAAAAUAAGUAUCAUAUGUAGAUAUAAAAAACUCAUUCCAUGUGAUUUUUCUUCUAAGUUGCAUACAUAAGAAUCUUCUACAUGUCCUAUUGAUGUAUUAUGUUAUAGUAUUACAAAAAAGGAAAAGCCAAGACUUACCGUCUCUGAGGUGUUUCUCCCCUUCAGUGUUUUCAAUGCAGCUUCUGCAAAAGCUUCUGCUGCAGCUGCAUCCGCUUCUGCAGCCUCUGCCUCCUUAGCUGCCUCUUCAGCUUCCGCUAUGGCGGCUUCUGCAUCAGCGACUGCUCGAGCAGCAUAUGCGGCAGCCUCUUGAGCAGACAUGGACC
rnacentral:lncRNA from 1 species